rnacentral:misc_RNA from 1 species
AAGUCGUAACAAGGUUUCCGUAGGUGAACCUGCGGAAGGAUCAUUAUUGAAUUUAAACUGGGUGAGGUUGCUGCUGGCUCCUUCGCGAGCAUGUGCACAUCUCACUCAUCCAACCUUCACACCCCUGUGCACUCUUCAUGGAACGGAUCCUGCGGUUUCUCUUCUGAGAAAUUUGCAGACCGCUCUGUGUUUAUUUUAUAAACUCUGAAACAGUCUUGAAUGUCAUCUUGCGCAUAAUACGCAUUUAAAUACAACUUUCAGCAACGGAUCUCUUGGCUCUC